UCAUACAUGAUGCAUAAUUUCCUUGCAAAUUAAGAAUUUUUCUGGGUUUUAUCAACUUCUUCCCCUUAAUCCUGGUGGUUCCAUAAAGAUGGAGAGAAGGUGGAAGAAUGUUUGUCUUUUCUGACAAGGAGGCUGUAACUCUUCAGGUUUUGUGUCGCCGUUACCUCUGUGUGAAGAGUUUCUUGAUUAUCUUAUCCUUUUCUUGAGCUAGUAAAAAAUAUCUUACAUCACAAAGUUUCUAUUUUAACAUUAUGUUGUAACCUAAAAUUAUAUUUAACAUACUACUUAAAACGGAUUAAUACAGUAUUACAAAAUAACCCUCCAUAAUAAAUAUAGUAUUCAAUUCAAUAUUUGCGAAGACCCAAUCAUAAAAUACACGUCUUUCACAACUGCUUAGACACAGUCCACAUUUUCCCUCCUGCCAUAAACUAAGAAACUGCCUUAAACAUACAGUGCAAGGCUCUCCUUUUAGAUCUGCCCUGGGGGUAGGUUAUAACAAGGACUUCUUUUUUUUCAAGGUCUGACAGAUAGCUCUACUGGUAAAAUUACAUCCUUCAGUGUUUUCUGGAGUUUUCAGACUGGCUCUGUCAUCCUGGGAAAUUUUCCCUUCCAGGUGGUAUGGCUGCAAGAACUUUCCUGAGGUGUGAGUGCCUUUGAUUCUACAGUGAGAGACGUUUUUCUUCUCUAUAGGGGGUCCUGUGACAAGGUGAUACAGUUACUCUUUUCCCUAGACAGGAAAUGUGGGUGUAAAAUCGUAUUUCUCCCUGGCCUCGGAGGGAGAAGCAACAGACUGCCACAUGCAUGCCGGUAUUGUUUUUUGAUCCACUGAAAACAAUCUAGUAUUAUAACAUGAUGUAUCUGUCACUGAAGGGGAUACAGAACUUCUGUCAGUGUGCUGUGAUAGGGAUGACUGCACCGUAAUUCAGUUUAAUAAAUAUUGCCUCUGGUUUUGUCAGCUUUAAGAUUAAAUUGACUUUCUUAUA